rnacentral:rRNA from 1 species
UACGUAGGGGGCAAGCGUUAUCCGGAUUUACUGGGUGUAAAGGGAGCGUAGACGGCAGCGCAAGUCUGGAGUGAAAUGCCGGGGCCCAACCCCGGAACUGCUCUGGAAACUGUGAAGCUGGAGUGCAGGAGAGGUAGGCGGAAUUCCCGGUGUAGCGGUGGAAUGCGCAGAUAUCGGGAAGAACACCGGUGGCGAAGGCGGCCUUCUGGGCCAUCACUGACGCUGAGGCGCGAAAGCUAGGGGAGCAAACAGG